UACAGAGGUCUCAAGCGUUGUUCGGAUUCAUUGGGCGUAAAGGGUGUGUAGGUGGCGCCGUAAAUCGGGUGUGAAAUUUCGGAGCUUAACUCCGAAACUGCAUUCGAUACUGCGGUGCUUGAGGACUGGAGAGGGGCGUGGAAUUCCGGGUGGAGCGGUGAAAUGCGUAGAGAUCCGGAGGAACACCGACGGCGUAGGCAGCGCCCUGGACGACACCUGACGCUGAGGCACGAAAGCUGGGGGAGCGAACAGG
rnacentral:rRNA from 1 species